rnacentral:rRNA from 1 species
AUUGAACGCUGGCGGCAGGCCUAACACAUGCAAGUCGAGCGGAUGGAGGGAGCUUGCUCCUGGAUUCAGCGGCGGACGGGUGAGUAAUGCCUAGGAAUCUGCCUGGUAGUGGGGGAUAACGUCCGGAAACGGGCGCUAAUACCGCAUACGUCCUGAGGGAGAAAGUGGGGGAUCUUCGGACCUCACGCUAUCAGAUGAGCCUAGGUCGGAUUAGCUAGUUGGUGGGGUAAAGGCCUACCAAGGCGACGAUCCGUAACUGGUCUGAGAGGAUGAUCAGUCACACUGGAACUGAGACACGGUCCAGACUCCUACGGGAGGCAGCAGUGGGGAAUAUUGGACAAUGGGCGAAAGCCUGAUCCAGCCAUGCCGCGUGUGUGAAGAAGGUCUUCGGAUUGUAAAGCACUUUAAGUUGGGAGGAAGGGCAGUAAGUUAAUACCUGGCUGUUUUGACGUUACCAACAGAAUAAGCACCGGCUAACUUCGUG